GGACAGAUGGCCGAGCGGUCUAUGGCGCUACGUUCAGGUUUCACUUGUGAAUCAGGACUUCGUAGUCUCGAAAGGGGCGUGGGUUCGAAUCCCACUCUGUUCA
rnacentral:tRNA from 1 species